rnacentral:rRNA from 1 species
AUUGAUUUUAUGCUUGCAUAAAUGAUUUUUGGAUUCGGAGCGAGUGGCGAACUGGUGAGUAACACGUGGGUAACCUGCCCCGAAGCGGGGGAUAACAUUUGGAAACAAGUGCUAAUACCGCAUAAUUAGUUGGAACCGCAUGGUUCCAACUUGAAAGAUGGCUCUGCUAUCACUUUGGGAUGGACCCGCGCCGUAUUAGUUAGUUGGUGAGAUAAAAGCCCACCAAGACGAUGAUACGUAGCCGACCUGAGAGGGUAAUUGGCCACAUUGGGACUGAGACACGGCCCAGACUCCUACGGGAGGCAGCGGUAGGGAAUCUUCCACAAUGGACGAAAGUCUGAUGGAGCAACGCCGCGUGAGUGAUGAAGGUUUUCGGAUCGUAAAACUCUGUUGUUAAAGAAGAACAAGUGUUAGAGUAACUGUUAACACUUUGACGGUAUUUAACCAGAAAGCCACGGCUAACUACGUGCCAGCAGCCGCGGUAACACGUAGGUGGCAAGCGUUGUCCGGAUUUAUUGGGCGUAAAGCGAGCGCAGGCGGUUUUGUAAGUCUGCUGUGAAAGCCCUCAGCUCAACUGAGGAAGUGCAGUGGAAACUACAAAACUUGAGUACAGAAGAGGAAAGUGGAACUCCAUGUGUAGCGGUGAAAUGCGUAGAUAUAUGGAAGAACACCAGUGGCGAAGGCGGCUUUCUGGUCUGUUACUGACGCUGAGGCUCGAAAGCAUGGGUAGCGAACAGGAUUAGAUACCCUGGUAGUCCAUGCCGUAAACGAUGAAUACUAGGUGUUGGAGGGUUUCCGCCCUUCAGUGCCGCAGCUAACGCAUUAAGUAUUCCGCCUGGGGAGUACGACCGCAAGGUUGAAACUCAAAGGAAUUGACGGGGGCCCGCACAAGUGGUGGAGCAUGUGGUUUAAUUCGAUGCUACGCGAAGAACCUUACCAGCUCUUGACAUCUUCUGCCAACCCAAGAGAUUGGGCGUUCCCUUCGGGGACAGGAUGACAGGUGGUGCAUGGUUGUCGUCAGCUCGUGUCGUGAGAUGUUGGGUUAAGUCCCGCAACGAGCGCAACCCUUAUUAUUAGUUGCCAGCAUUUAGUUGGGCACUCUAGUGAGACUGCCGGUGAUAAA